rnacentral:rRNA from 1 species
UACGAAGGGGACUAGCGUUGUUCGGAAUCACUUGGCGUAAAGCGCACGUAGGCGGAUUUGUAAGUCAGGUGUGAAAUCCCGGGGCUCAACCUCGGAACUGCCUUUGAUACUGCGAAUCUUGAGUCCGAUAGAGGUGGGUGGAAUUCCUAGUGUAGAGGUGAAAUUCGUAGAUAUUAGGAAGAACACCGGUGGCGAAGGCGGCCCACUGGAUCGGUACUGACGCUGAGGUGCGAAAGCGUGGGGAGCAAACAGG